AUUGAACGCUGGCGGCAUGCUUUACACAUGCAAGUCGAACGGUAACAGGGUGCUUGCACCGCUGACGAGUGGCGAACGGGUGAGUAAUGCGUCGGAACGUGCCGAGUAGUGGGGGAUAACGCAGCGAAAGUUGUGCUAAUACCGCAUACGUACUGAGGUAGAAAGUGGGGGACCUUCGGGCCUCACGCUAUUCGAGCGGCCGACGUCUGAUUAGCUAGUAGGUGAGGUAAAGGCUCACCUAGGCGAUGAUCAGUAGCGGGUCUGAGAGGUUGAUCCGCCACACUGGGACUGGGACACGUGCCAGACGCCGACGGGAGGCAGCAGUGGGGAAGUUUGGACAAUGGGCGAAAGCCUGAGCCAGCCAUGCGGCGUGUCUGAAGAAGGCCUUCGGGUUGUAAAGGACUUUUGUCAGGGAAGAAAUCCCUAGUGCUGAUAACACUGGGGGAUGACAGUACCUGAAGAAUAAGCACCGGCUAACUACGUGCCAGCCGCCGCAGUAA
rnacentral:rRNA from 1 species